rnacentral:rRNA from 1 species
UGGGGAAUAUUGGACAAUGGGCGAAAGCCUGAUCCAGCCAUGCCGCGUGAGUGAUGAAGGCCCUAGGGUUGUAAAGCUCUUUUAACGGGGAAGAUAAUGACGGUACCCGUAGAAUAAGCCCCGGCUAACUUCGUGCCAGCAGCCGCGGUAAUACGAAGGGGGCUAGCGUUGCUCGGAAUCACUGGGCGUAAAGCGCACGUAGGCGGACUCUUAAGUCGGUGGUGAAAUCCUGGAGCUCAACUCCAGAACUGCCUUCGAUACUGGGAGUCUCGAGUUCGGGAGAGGUGAGUGGAACUGCGAGUAUAGAGGUGAAAUUCGUAGAUAUUCGCAAGAACACCAGUGGCGAAGGCGGCUCACUGGCCCGAUACUGACGCUGAGGUGCGAAAGCGUGGGGAGCAAACA